GUGGAGUUUAAAUUCAAGUUGGUUCCAAUCCUUUGUAUAUGAGCCCAGAAGAGUGAGCUGCAGGGGAUGCUGCAGCUUUGCAGGUUCCCCCAAACUGUAGAACUUCAUACAUACAUCAAAAGGAGUUGCCUUGGAAACAAAACCUCUGAACCUUCAAUUAAUCUCAGAGGAGCAGAAGGUCACCUACCCAGUCAGCAGAGCUGUGUGCCAGGUAUUCUAUAA
rnacentral:lncRNA from 1 species